UCGGCAAUUUUCUGUGACGGAUUUUCAUGACAAAAUGAAGGCCUUAUGUUAUGCGACAGUCUCGCCGCCUUUGGUACAACCUUACGGUAAAUUCGCAACGAAUCCCUGUGCCUCCUGCAUUUGAAUCUCCCGAAAUAACAUAGGUGCUACUGCCCAAAGAGAGGCGCCAUUGUUUAGUAAGCUUGAUCUCGACCUUGAUGAAUAACGCGGACCCUCCGUGGUGGCUGCUCAGCACGAGGUUGCGGGUUCGUUUCCCUGACGUUACAGUCGUGUUACAAAAACGAAGGGGAGAGGGGGGCUGUUAAUAAAUAAAACACACUCGUGUACUUAGGUACAUUCGACUGGUUCCUACCGUGCUGCGACUCUUUCUGCAGCGAUGCGUAGCCCUCUCGAGAUUGGAGCCAGAGAAAGCCUGCCCCAACCGAACGUGCCAAGUGCGCCCAGAGGAGUCCCAGUGGCCACGUGGUCGGCAUUCUGCCGCAUCUCGGUCGCACUCCCAGCUCGAAGGAUUCAGCCUCUACCAACACUCUGAGCAAGAGCGCGGUGCUCCGAGCGAACCAUGCGAACGUGUUCCGAGCACUCGAUUUUGACCAGCUGAAUGAAAAUGGCUCCGAAAGAGGGAUGAAAUGGGCUUGUUGGUACAUCUUGAAUGGCAGUAGUUGAGCGCUUAGUUAAGUCGAGGACAAAAAAAAAAAAAAAACCGAGACACACGGAAACACGGGAGCUGGUGUGUCCGUGUGCCACUCCAGAAGAGAGCUUUAGAGCAUUCUAAAGCGGCCAGUCGAAUGCAUAGUAUGAUAUUUAUAUCCGGUGGAGCAGCGAUCCGGUGGAGCAGCGACCAGUCCGGUGGAGCAGCGACCGAGCUCUGACCAUGUUUUCUUUGUUAUAGCUCCGAGCCGUGGAACCGCCGCAUCGCCCGAUGACCAUGGAAGCGUCGAUGUGCUAGCCCUGCGGCAGAUAUCUGCGCAGGGAUCGGGGCCAAGCAAGCGCGGAUGACAACGGGACGAUACCGCCGCGAAAGGGGGCGGCGCUCACGUCACAAACCACGGGUUCUACGGGCUACAAAAGGACGCUCAGAAGAAGAACGCCCCGCAGUCCGGUGGAGCAGCGACCGAGCUCUGACCGUGUUUUCUUUGUUAUAGCUCCGAGCCGUGGAACCGCCGCAUCGCCCGAUGACCAUGGAAGCGUCGAUGUGCUAGGCCUGCGGCAGAUAUCUGCGCAGGGAUCUGGGCCAAGCAAGCGCGCAUGACAACGGGACGAUACCGCCGCGAAAGGGGGCGGCGCUGACGUCACAAACCACGGGUUCUACGGGCUACAAAAGGACGCUCAGAAAAAGAACGCCCCGCAGUCCGGUGGAGCAGCGACCGAGCUCUGACCGUGUUUUCUUUGUUAUAGCAAUGAAGGCAAUACAAGCACUUGUACUCGUGGCUUGUGUUGCAAUAGCUUGCCCGCUGGAGGGCGGGCCGUGUGCCAGCUGGUGCCAGGAGCACGGAUGCCUGGACGGUCAGUGCACGUGUGGCACCUGGGACGAGUGCCGCUGCAUCGGUUGCUGCACCGAAGUGCCCGAUGUGCACUGUGUGGACAUGAACUGCGUCGAGGCCGCCGAACCGCGAGGGGUGUGCGUGCAGGACACCUGCCUGCCCAACAUCAACGACCCCUAUUGCCACGACUAGUGACACGUCAUCCGCCAAAUUAGACAACUUUAGAGGAGAGCGAUUUUCCAAACGCGAAGUGAGGCGAAACGACGCGAAGCACCUUCAGUAAAAGAGCCUGCAGAAGCGCAAUGUGUCCAUCGUUUGACGACAUAUAUUACAGCCUUAUAUAUUAUGUAGGCUUAUAUCGCUCGCUAUGUGAGCAUACUUAAAUAUCGUAUAGCCUUAUAAACCGCUCAGAGAUGGAACAUUAUGGAGUCGCCCAUGAAAAUGAAUAACUGGUAAGAACCAACAAACUGUAUGAUUGCCACGGGAAUUUUAUGUUCAAUAGAUGCCAUAAAACAUUUUGCAUGAUACUCUAUAGACAGGUAGUGGAAACGCUUUUGCAGGGAACUUCCACAUUUUUGCCUCCUUUAAUAAAGAUGACAUAAAUAAAGAACUUGCUAAAUCUACCUCGA